UAACAAUGAUUUCCCUAGUAACGGCGAGUGAAGAGGAAAGAGCUCAAAGUUGGAACCUGUUUGGCUUAGCUAAACCGGAUUGUAAACUGUAGAAGUGUUUUCCUGACACGCCUGGUAAAAAAGUCCUUUGGAACAGGGCAUCAUAGAGGGUGAGAAUCCCGUGUUUGGCCAGAGCUGUUGUCUUUUGUGAUACAUUUUCAAAGAGUCAGGUUGUUUGGGAAUGCAGCCUAAAUUGGGUGGUAAAUCUCACCUAAAGCUAAAUAUUUGCGAGAGACCGAUAGCGAACAAGUACCGUGAGGGAAAGAUGAAAAGAACUUUGAAAAGAGAGUUAAACAGUAUGUGAAAUUGUUAAAAGGGAACCGUUUGGAGCCAGACUGGCUUGACUGUAAUCAAUCUAGGCUUCGGCCUGGAUGCACUUGCGGUUUAUGCCUGCCAACGACAAUUUUUUUUGAGGGAAAAAACUAUUAGGAAUGUGGCCCCUCUCGGGGGGUGUUAUAGCCUUUUAGAAAAUACCUUGAAUUGGAUUGAGGAACGCAGUGAAUGCCUUUAGGCAAGAUUGCUGGGUGCUUUCGUUAAUAAAUGCUAGAAUUUCUGCUUCGGGUGGUGUUAGUGUUUAAAGAUGGAACUCGCCUAGUAUAUUUUUUAUUCGCUUAGGUUGUUGGCUUAAUGACUCUAAAUGAC
rnacentral:rRNA from 1 species